AGUGGCGGACGGGUGAGUAACACGUAAGAAUUUGCCUUUAGGAGGGGGACAACAACUGGAAACGGUUGCUAAUACCCCAUAUGCUUUCGAGUGAAAUGGAUUUUUCCGCCUAAAGAGAAGCUUGCGGCUGAUUAGCUUGUUGGUGAGGUAAUGGCUCACCAAGGCGACGAUCAGUAUCUGGUUUGAGAGGAUGAUCAGACACACUGGAACUGAGACACGGUCCAGACUCCUACGAGAGGCAGCAGUGGGGAAUUUUCCGCAAUGGGCGAAAGCCUGACGGAGCAAUCUCGCGUGAGGGAUGACGGCCUAUGGGUUGUAAACCUCUUUUUUCAGGGAGGAACAAAAUGACGUGUACCUGAAGAAUAAGCAUCGGCUAACUCCGUGCCAGCAGCCGCGGUAAGACGGAGGAUGCAAGUGUUAUCCGGAAUCACUGGGCGUAAAGCGUCUGUAGGUGGUUUAAUAAGUCAACUGUUAAAUCUUGAAGCUCAACUUCAAAAUCGCAGUCGAAACUAUUAGACUAGAGUAUAGUAGGGGUAAAGGGAAUUUCCAGUGGAGCGGUGAAAUGCGUAGAUAUUGGAAAGAACACCGAUGGCGAAGGCACUUUACUGGGCUAUUACUGACACUCAGAGACGAAAGCUAGGGUAGCAAAUGGGAUUAGAUACCCCAGUAGUCCUAGCCGUAAACAAUGGAUACUAGAUGU
rnacentral:rRNA from 1 species